AUGUCCUCGCUCUGGUCGAUCCUGAUUGUAAUGUCUAUGUUCCACGGAGUCUUUGGCGAUGAUUCAAUGUCCCAGUAUCCGCCUGAACUGACGACUGAAGAAGGACGAACAGUAACACUGAACUGCAGUUACCCGGCAGCAUUUGGUACUAGCGUUGUCUUUUGGUACAUCCAGUCUCCUGGAGAAAAGCCAAGAUAUCUGCUUAAGAGUUUCAGCAGCCUUCCUGGAGACCGGUCACCAGAUUUCCCUGACAGGUUUUCUGCUGUUUAUCGGAAAGAAUCUCGUUCGGUUCCUUUAACUAUCUCCGGUGUCCUUGUCUCCGACUCUGCCGUGUAUCUCUGUGCCAUGCGACCCACACUGCAACAUAAAAGCAUCAGAGCCGAACAAAAACCGAACCCCAAAAGUUCCAUCGAUCAUUCACCAGAGGGCGCACUUGCCCCGGUAAGCAGAAGUGAUGAGAGCGAGAAACCCUUCGGAACCUUCAGCAAAUACGUCUCAAACAUUCCGUGUUCAAAGGAGAAGAGCUUCAAACAUCCCAAUAUUUUCUACAAUUGA